GAGGCAAGAGACUGAUCGGGAAUACUCUUCUUUUUCUUGCUCGAUUCUGCGGUAAUGGUUAUUCUCCCUCUAUCACUGUUGUUUUCUCUUUAUUCUAAGGUUCUUUAGGGUUUAGAGGUCUGUCCUUUUUUCGUUCGUUUGUUUUCCAGGAUCAGAUCAUCGCUGGCCCCAAAGCCUGUGACGAGCUCCUCGUCCGAUCUCGUUGUUGCACGGAAAAACACAUAUGAGCUGGUGCAUGGUUUGAUGAGAUCUGGUGCGGACUAGUUUCUACAGAAGAAAACAUCUGUAUGUUGUAAUUUUGAGAUUGAGGUUGCAGGUUGAUGGGCGCCUUUAAUGCAUGGGGAUACCUUCCAAGCUUUCUUGAUGAGGACUAACAGAUUUCGCUGUAUCGGUCGAUCCACAAAACAGCGUCCCUUCCUCGUGAUGUUCAGGAAUGCGGUAAUGAUAUCAGCACAACAGGCCAGCGGGGUUGGCGUACGGGUUGUGGUGCUCAGGAGAUAUGAAGCUGUUUGCUGAAUCGGUCGAGACAGGGUAGCUAUGCUUGCCCCAAACGAAGUCACAGACUACCACGUACGCACCACAAAUCGGUGAAUAUAAACCGUCCGUAGUGGUCGUGUGGUUAUGCUCGAGGCGUAUCCUAACUAAAACGUUGCCCACGAAUAGUACCGUCGGAUCGGAAAGUGAACGAAUCAUAAGGUAGAUUCGAUGAUGAUGAUGCUAUGAGCCCGAGUGCAUGGUAUGCAUCAAGAAGCUUAUUAGACUGUAUGACUAACUCUCCUUUUCCGUUUCCCGUUCAUGUACGACUACUUGUUGCCGCUCUCAUUGGCGAGGACGGAUCGGACGAGGAGAAGGCAAUGUGGAGGCGGCAGCCAAGAACGGGGAGAGGAAGGCGACAAGGCGUUCCGAUGGGUGACAAGGGACGCGUCCGGUCUCUUUUCUUCUUCGCCUUCUCCCGGAGGGGUUUUGGGGAGCCACACUAUACUUCUCUGUUCCCUCCGUCCUGUUAGGAAUGUAGACGAGUCAUGCAUAUUUAAUGGAAUUCGAUGCAUGUCCCAUUUGAAUAUCAUAGUUGGGUCAUGCAUAUAUAGAUGUAGAAGUUUGUGGUUGUGUGAAUGCAAUUCAGUUCAACUUGAUAAAUAGAUGUAGAAGUCAUGAAAUAUUUGCUUGGAGUUCAACUUGGAGUACAUGAACACCAAGGGAGGACUUUGUUUAAAAUAUUUUGCAUCAAAUAACAAAUCAUUUUUGUCUGCAAUAAUAACGGCGAUGAUAUUACUAUA